GGGGGCGUAUUUGGUUUCGACGGAUUUGAUUUUUACAAAGUGCAAAGCGUGCGGUAGUCGUACCAUAAACGAAAAAAAUUUUAAACGCAAAUAAUCAAAAUCUUGCUGUUGCUGCUUAGUCGCACAGCUGCCUUAGUUAAAAUGUCCACGUUUUAACUGAAAGGUAUCAAACAAGUGGAAAGGUUGAUAGUUUUUCGCCAAAGGAACUAUCAAUAAACUAAUUUGGCUAUGCAAAAUUGUGAUUUGUUUGUUCUCACUUUUUGUUAAUAAACAAAACAAACUGCGCACGGAGAAAAGCUUUGCAAAACCUUUUCGGACGAGGGUUCAACUCCCUCCGCCUCCACCA
rnacentral:tmRNA from 1 species